rnacentral:lncRNA from 1 species
GCCUCUCGCGAAGGGAUGAAGAACCUCCGCGCAAGACACCCCUUCUGUCUGGGAUCAGCCCUUGUCCGGCGCGAACACAUUUUGAAAGAAAAAAAAAAGCAUGGAUCUGGGAUUUUUUUUCUUUUUUCCUUUUUCUUUCAAGCUGAAUACUGUUAUCUUUGCCUUCCAGGCGGAAGGUCGGUUCCAACCCUUCUUUCCUGAGCUUCUCCUUCGCGAACGGGGGACCAUCGCUGAUGCUUCCUCCUGAGUUGGGAAAGGGAUAGAACUUUCCCAGGGAGGUGCGGAGUGUCCCCGCUGCGCUUUCCCGGUUCCUUUCCCCCAGAAGAGAUCCUGUUGCACCGGAGGGAACGUGCCCCAUUUCUCUGCGCCCCACCCACCCCCAAAUGACGGCGGAGACGGAAGGCAGCUUCUGUGUUUGUUUUGUAAACCUUUAAAACCCACUGCACUUAGCGCUUUGCGAGCCCCCUUGGCCUUCGCCCAAAGCAAGCCGUAAAGAGGUCGGGGAGCUCAGCGGACUGGGUGGGAGAGGGAGGCGACCUGCGCUGCCGCGACGAAGUGGGUCUUGAAGGGUGCGACCUCUCCCUCCGGGACUGGGCGUGUCCCUUAACCUCUCCCAACCCUAUCACCCUGCUGACCCCGGCUGGGCUCGCGGACGCGACUGGCAGGAGUGCGAGACCGCGUCCUCACGCCGGGGGACGCCGGCCACGGCCUCAGGUGUCGACCCCCCACCCGCCCAGCCCGCGCGGCCGCUCUCCCGGGACCCGGGAGUGGGGGGAGGGUGGUGGAGUUGGCGGCGGGGCUGCCGGGUGGGGUCGAAGGGGGCGCCGGCCGCUGCCCCGAUUGGCUGCGCCGCCGCCCCCUCCCCGCGCCGCGCGCCCCCGGCCCGCAGCCCGGGAGCUGGUUCCUGCUGGAGGGAGAACGUGCGGGGGCGGGACCGGUCUCCCCGCCCCGCACCCGACCCCGGGCGCGCGGGGAUAAAACCCGGCCGGCGCCGCCCGGGAACCCGGGCCCUGCAGCCUCCGGUGCGCGGAGAGGCGGGGCCGGGUCCGACCCGCUCCCCGCGCCUCCGCCCCUUGGACCAGGCUCCGGGAGCAAGGCGCCCCGCGCGCGGGCACGCGACGGCCAGAGCGCCCAGGCGGUACCUUCAGCAGAGCAAUGAAGAGAGCCGGGGAGAAGCAACCGCAGCCGGCCGAGACGUUCCCUGCGCCCGGGGUUGCUGCCGCCGCUGUGGCUGCCUGAAACUCCCCAAAGUUGCGAGCCAGCGAGAGGCUGCCGCCCGCCGGGAGCUAAAGGGAAAGGAACGCGUAAGAUGCCGGAGUGACAGACAGACAGACGCACAGACCUGCAGAAGACACCACCGUCGGCGGCCUAUCCCCGGAGCCCGUGAGGCUUCCCAGCUCCGUUCACUGGUGGGAGGCUGAGCUGGUGGAAAAGGCGCCUGGAA